rnacentral:rRNA from 1 species
AUGGAUGCCUGCGGCUCUGCCUUCCUGCACCUCCACACGCCGCCCGCACACGCCAUCAACCACUCCUGGUGCCUCCAGGUUGCUCUCCCCGUCCAUCACGAGCUCAAUCCACCUGCUGACCCGUCGGCCUUGUUGCCCCUCUUGGCGCUGUCAAGACCCGGCAACCAGGGAGGCCAAGAAUGUCUUCGUGGAUUCGACAAGUACCUACACCGGCAAGACUACAUGGACGUUCAUUCCACUACAUCAGUGAAACGUCAAGGUCGACUAUGUUUUGUUGCCCCGUCCGGAAUCGUCAAGUACCUGAAGACCACAAGGACGCCAAGUACCAGGACGACGAGGACCGCCAAGUUUGUCUUCCGCCGUCUCCGAAAUCGUCAAGUACCACUAUGA